ensembl:snRNA U6 U6 spliceosomal RNA
GUGCUCACUUCAGCACGUAUACUAAAAUUGGAAUGAUACAGAGAAUAUUAACAUGGCCCUGCUUUAAGGAUGACACAAAAAUUCAUGAGGCAUUUCAUUAUGUU